UCUCAACUUUUUUAGAAGAGAUGCAUUUAUUAGAUAAAAAACCAAUACAUGCUUUUAAAGUAUGGAAUUUGGUGAUUUACAAUAACUUAGCAAAUCGCAUAGUGAAAACAGGCGAUAAAUCAUUCAAGUUUCUGACCUAUCAGCUUUCGACGGUAUGGUAUUGGCUUACCGUGGCAGUGACGGUUAACGGGGGAUUAGGGUUCGAUUCCGGAGAGGGAGCCUGAGAAACGGCUACCACAUCUAAGGAAGGCAGCAGGCGCGCAAAUUACCCAAUUCUAACAGCAUAAGAGAGGUAGUGACAAGAAAUAACAAUACAAGGCAGUUAAAAUGCUUUGUAAUUGGAAUGAUAGAAAUUUAAACACUUUUUAAAGUAUCAAUUGGAGGGCAAGUCUGGUGCCAGCAGCCGCGGUAAUUCCAGCUCCAAUAGCGUAUAUUAAAAUUGUUGCAGUUAAAAAGCUCGUAGUUGAAUUUCUGCUAAAAAUAACCGGUCUGCUUUUAAUAAAGGUGGUAUCUUGGUGUGUUUUUAGCAAUAAUGUCCUUUGAAAUGUUUAUUACUUCAUUGUAAUAAAUUAUUUUCAGGAUUUUUACUUUGAGAAAAUUAGAGUGUUUCUAGCAGGCUAACGCUUUGAAUACUGC
rnacentral:rRNA from 1 species